rnacentral:tRNA from 1 species
GUGGGCGUAGUUCAGUUGGUAGAGCGACAGUUUGUGGUACUGUUUGUCGCGGGUUCGAGUCCCGUCGCCCACCCCA